rnacentral:rRNA from 1 species
AGAGUUUGAUCCUGGCUCAGAUUGAACGCUGGCGGCAUGCCUUACACAUGCAAGUCGAACGGUAACGGGCCUUCGGGUGCCGACGAGUGGCGAACGGGUGAGUAAUGUAUCGGAACGUACCUUCCAGUGGGGGAUAACGUAGCGAAAGUUACGCUAAUACCGCAUAUUCUGUGAGCAGGAAAGCAGGGGAUCGCAAGACCUUGCGCUGAUUGAGCGGCCGAUAUCAGAUUAGCUAGUUGGUGAGGUAAAGGCUCACCAAGGCGACGAUCUGUAGCGGGUCUGAGAGGAUGAUCCGCCACACUGGAACUGAGACACGGUCCAGACUCCUACGGGAGGCAGCAGUGGGGAAUUUUGGACAAUGGGGGCAACCCUGAUCCAGCCAUGCCGCGUGAGUGAAGAAGGCCUUCGGGUUGUAAAGCUCUUUCAGCCGGGAAGAAAACGCAUGGGUUAAUACCCUGUGUGGAUGACGGUACCGGAAUAAGAAGCACCGGCU